UCCGGAGUCUCCUGUUGCCCUCCCUACCAGCAGUCGCACAGCAAGGACUUCCCGGGCAUGUCCUUCUCUCUAUCUUUUCUCUUCCCGCACCUCCCUCUCUACUCCCAGGCCCUUUACAAAAUUUCUGGUACAGGAGAGAUUUAAAAAGAAAAAAAAGAGAAAAAAAAAAAAGACCACUUACAGCUUCACUACAUUCUCCACCACAGCCGCCAUCUUCCCUGUUCCUCUCCCUCAGGCCGAGAGGCCCCGAAACCCGCAACGCGCAGGCGCUAAGCCUUCUCAGGACACUCGGUCUUCGACCCUCUGCGCAGGCGCAGCCAGAGGGUGCGCGCGCACGCACAGGCCCACGAGAGCGAGCGCUAGAGAACGACCUGUCCUGAAGGAGCAUGGAGGAUCCCAGUGCGCAGGCGCGAUUGGAAAACUUGCAUGCCCUCUGCAGACUCGUAUCCCCUCCAUUUAGUGGAGUCUCAGAAAGGUCUGGCUUGGUUGGAAAGUGAGAAAGGAGGUAGGAGGAUUGCCACAAGUUCAAGGCCCAUCCAGGCUACACAAGUUCUAAGCCACCAGGGCUACAUAGAAAACCUGAAGGACAGUAGCAACAAACAAUAAAAGUUCCCAGAGCCUA